UGAAAACCCAGAAUGUUCAUAAUAGCCAAAACCAAACAGAAACAAGAGACUUACUACAGAAUUUGAUCGAUCAUGUUGCUGCCCACCCGGGCUAGCUUAACCCAUACACAGAGCGUACAGUUGACAAAUGGUUUCACUCCACAGCGACAAAGAACACGUACGUCGACAUUCAUCUAUACAGUACGACUAUACACACUCGUGUAGCGACGCAAAGCAGACGCGAAGAAGAAAGGAGCCCUUAAAAGUACUGACACGGGGAAGGGAAGGAUCGCUCUAGCGGCGCAGCGCGUCCCUCAGCCUCGCGUCGGCGAGCAACUCCUGGAACUCACCGCACACGGCCUCCUGACGCCUAUGCUCCUUCUUCGCCUUUCCGGCCUGCGCCCUGAGCCGCUUCCGGUCGGCCCCCAUCCCCUUCCUCGUGUAGACAGGCGCCGGUGCCGUCGGCGCGUCUCCUUCCGCCGGCACCGGCGCCCGCCGGUUGCGAGCGCGCCUGCCGCGCCCGCGGGACGCCGUGGCCAUCUGGUCCUGCAGCCGGCCGCGCUUGGCCGCAAUGCAUGACGAGGUCCUCCGGAAGUCCUCCAGGACGUACUGGAUGUCGUCCGACCCCCAGUGCGGCACCUCGCCGUCGCUUGUCCCGACGAUACGGAGAACCUCCUCCGUCACCGUCGCGUGCCCAGCCGCGGACGCCGCCAUUGUAGCUUCGUAAAAUGCUUCUGUCUAGAAUCGAUCUUGUGGAUUGCGAGUGAUCGGCCGGAGGAGGGGGGAGGCCAGUGUUAAGUAGGGAGGAGAUCGAGAGGCGAAGUGGGAACGGCAUUUUGGAUGGGGCACGAAUGGGGGUACGUAGCCUAGCGGUUACACUGUAACCGGUACAGAUUCACGUAGAGAUAGGCGCGCACCAUGCUGUUGGCAACUGCCGGAUGCGAAGAGGCGCUCCUGCGCGCGGUUGAUUCCUGCCCACUUUGGGCCAUGAGCACACGAAACGACGACAUGGGGGGAGAGACGAUCGAGCGACGCACUGCAUCGCAAGUUUCAACUUCCAUGCGAAAUUAGGUAUUCCUAUUUUUCCCUAAAAAGAAUACUAUUCCUAACUUCUUUUUUGUGUGGGAAACGAUAUUAUUCCUAAUUGACUAACUCCAGUGCUUACUGCAUGAUUAUGCAGGAGAUCAGAG
rnacentral:lncRNA from 1 species